UACGUAGGGGGCGAGCGUUGUCCGAAGUUAUUGGGCGUAAAGAGCUCGUAGGUCGUUUGUUACGUCGGAUGUGAAAACCUGAGGCUCAACCUCAGGCCUGCAUUCGAUACGGGCAAACUAGAGUUUGGUAGGGGAGACUGGAAUUCCUGGUGUAGGCGGUGGAAUGCGCAGAUAUCAGGAGGAACACCAAUGGCGAAGGCAGGUCUCUGGGCCAAAUACUGACACUGAGGAGCGAAAGUCUGGGGAGCGAACAGG
rnacentral:rRNA from 1 species